AGGUAUUAAUAAAUUUCACGAUUAUUGCAAUUUUUAACCGUUGAUCUCGUUUAUUCGUACACAUUACUACGCGUGUCAUGAUUAAAUAAUCGGAUAAAAUUACCACUGAAAGUUGGAUAUAUUCGUCAUUUAUGUGAAAAACUCAAAUACGCGAGACGGGAUAUUUUCUUCACUGCCGGCGAUUUUGUCAAAGACACCGCGCAGUUCUUCAUUCGCGAUUUUUCACGCGGAUCGCGAAUGUGCUUCCCCAGCUACCAGAGAUUUUUAUCGCAUUGUAAUAGACCUUCAUCAUAUAAAUUUAUAUAGAUUCCAGUUACGUUUAACAUCGUUAAAAUCAUUAAAAUGUAUUACGUCAUUGAAUGUUACAAUGCAAGUGCGACAUGGACGACGCAGAAGGACGCACAGGUGCUGAACGUUGGAUGUCCUGGACUCAGAGCGAUGCUGUUAGCGAGAUGUCGGUGGACUUCGACGCGAUACGGAAAAAAAGGGCAGUGUUUACAUCACAUGGAUAAUGCAAUAAACAAUCUUGAAAUCCACGAGAUGAUCCUGCUUCAGGCUACUAUUGAAAAAUUGGCUCCAAAUGUUUACUAAUCGUGAGGUCGAUUAUACACGAAACAACUGAUAUCUGUGUAAAACUCGAAGUUAACAUCACGCCUACAGUCGCUCGCGUUCGCGGGCGACGGGAGUGUUCUCGUCCUCCCGGGUCGGCUGGAUUUCACGACGUGACUCCGGGCAGCGUUGUCGUUGCCUCCUUUGAACGCGUCACCGAUAUUAUUGCUGAGAGCAUUGGAGAAAUAUCCACCGAUAUCGCCGCUCAGGCUACCAUCGUUAUCUCGGCCAAAGGAUUGUCCUCCUGCGGAAAUACAAAGCCACUCUCAAUCAAGCCAAAUAAAUUGUCAAGGAAGUGGCGUGGCACAUAACGACUCACAAUCCGAAGGGUGUACCGAGUUCGAAUCCCACUAGAAUAAAGGCGAGUUCUUCAUAUAACAUUGAAUUAAUUAAAUUUCAUGCAAAACAAUCAUACUCUAACACCUUAAGAAACAACUUUCAGUUAAAAAAAUAAUAGAAUUUCCAGUAAGAAAUGUGAAUAUAAUUUUGUUUAGUUUGGUUAAAGUAACCAAACUUGUCUGGUUACUUUAGCCAAUCGCUUAUAACCAAA